AUCGGCGGCAGCGGCGGUGGGAAUGAUUAGGCAGGAUUUACUGUCGCUCCUCUGCCCUCCCCUCCUCCUGCAGCAGAGCCAGGUUUGCGGCACUUCAGAGUGUGGAGCUCAGCAAAGAAAUGCUGUCUGCAUGAAAACACCUCGAACCGUGGACGAUAUCCACUCGAUGUGUCCAAGUCAGGCCACCGAAGCCUCCUAAGACUCUAGUUCGCAGGAAAAGAGUACUACACCGAUUCCUAGGACAUUUCGUGGAGGGGUGGGGCAUGACCCAAGGAUUUAAUUUUGAAGUGGAACCGGAUCAACAAGGAGCCAGGAUUUUUUUUUCUCACUUUCUUCAACAUGAAAUUGAGCAUUAGCCUCGGUGGAGGGAUGAGCCGUCCAAGUGGCCUUCGAGUUUCAAGUGCCCUGACAUGUUUUGCCGUCUGCAAUGGAAA